rnacentral:rRNA from 1 species
UACGUAGGGGGCAAGCGUUGUCCGGAAUCAUUGGGCGUAAAGAGCGUGUAGGCGGCCAGGUAGGUCUGCUGUGAAAACUCGAGGCUCAACCUCGAGACGCCGGUUGAAACCAUCAGGCUAGAGUCCGGAAGAGGAGAGUGGAAUUCCCGGUGUAGCGGUGAAAUGCGCAGAUAUCGGGAAGAACACCCGUGGCUAAGGCGGCUCUCUAGUACGGUACUGACGCUGAGACGCGAAAGCGUGGGGAGCGAACAGG